rnacentral:rRNA from 1 species
AACGAACGCUGGCGGCGUGGAUAAGACAUGCAAGUCGAACGGAUCAUUCAUUGUAGCAAUACAGUGGGUGGUUAGUGGCGUAAGGGUGCGUAACACGUGGGCAACCUGCCCGGAAGAGUGGGAUAGCUCGCCGAAAGGCGAAUUAAUACCGCAUGAGGCUAGGGAGGACAUCCUCCUGAGGCCAAAGUUGGUGAAAGCUAACGCUUCUGGAUGGGGCCCGCGGCCUAUCAGCUAGUUGGUGAGGUAACGGCUUACCAAGGCGAUGACGGGUAGCUGGUCUGAGAGGACGACCAGCCACACUGGAACUGAGACACGGUCCAGACACCUACGGGUGGCAG